rnacentral:rRNA from 1 species
CUUGACUCUAGUCUGGCACUGUGAGGAGACAUGAGAGGUGUAGCAUAAGUGGGAGAUCCUCCGGGGUCGCCAGUGAAAUACCACUACUUUCAUCGUUUCCUCACUUACUCGGUGAGGCGGAGCGCGCGCGCCAUUCCUAGUGUUUGGCGUGCGGACUUCUAGAACCAAGUCCGUCAAGUGUUUCACUUCUCGGACGAUCCGAUCCGAGGACACUGCCAGGCG